AGAUUAGGUGAUGAAAAGGGAAUCCGGUGUAAAUCCGGAACAGACCCGCUGCUGUGAGUUCCUUUUUUGCUUCUAAGAAACUCUAUGCCACUGUCCGAAUGCCGGAUGGGAAGGCUUCUUGGAACGGAACAAGUCAGAAUACCUGCCAGUGACAGU
rnacentral:ncRNA from 1 species